CCGGACCUGACUGCUAUCGGAUUGGUACUAAGCCAUGCGAGUCAUUGUAGCAAUACAAGGCGGACGGCUCAGUAACACGUAGUCAACCUAACCUAUGGACGUGGAUAACCUCGGGAAACUGAGAAUAAACCGCGAUAGAUCAUUAUGCCUGGAAUGGCUUAUGGUUCAAACAAUUUAUUGCCGUAGGAUGGGACUGCGGCCUAUCAGCUUGUUGGUGAGGUAAUGGCCCACCAAGGCUAUAACAGGUACGGGCUCUGAGAGGAGAAGCCCGGAGAUGGGUACUGAGACACGGACCCAGGCCCUAUGGGGCGCAGCAGGCGAGAAACCUUAGCAAUGUGCGAAAGCACGACUAGGUUAAUCCGAGUGAUUCCUGUUGAAGGAAUCUUUUGUCAGUCGUAAAACCACAGACGAAUAAGGGGUGGGCAAGUCUGGUGUCAGCCGCCGCGGUAAUACCAGCACCUCGAGUGGUCAGGAGGUUUAUUGGGCCUAAAGCAUCCGUAGCCGGCUUUGCAAGUCUCCGGUUAAAUCCAGCUGCUCAACAGAUGGGCUGCCGGAGAUACUACACAGCUAGGGAGCGGGAGAGGCAGACGGUAUUCUGUGGGUAGGGGUAAAAUCCAUUGAUCCAUAGAGGACCACCAGUGGCGAAGGCGGUCUGCCAGAACGCGUUCGACGGUGAGGGAUGAAAGCUGGGGGAGCAAACCGGAUUAGAUACCCGGGUAGUCCCAGCUGUAAACGAUGCAAACUCGGUGAUGCAUUGGCUUAUGGGCCAAUGCAGUGCCGCAGGAAGCCGUUAAGUUUGCCGCCUGGGAGUACGGACGCA
rnacentral:rRNA from 1 species